GACAGCAGCCGCCGGGGAAAACAGAGGGUGCGAGCGUUAAUCGGAUUUACUGGGCGUAAAGCGUGCGUAGGCGGCUUUUUAAGUCGGAUGUGAAAUCCCUGAGCUUAACUUAGGAAUUGCAUUCGAUACUGGGAAGCUAGAGUAUGGGAGAGGAUGGUAGAAUUCCAGGUGUAGCGGUGAAAUGCGUAGAGAUCUGGAGGAAUACCGAUGGCGAAGGCAGCCAUCUGGCCUAAUACUGACGCUGAGGUACGAAAGCAUGGGGAGCAAACAGGAUUAGAUACCCCCGUAGUCCCUGUCUCUUAUACA
rnacentral:rRNA from 1 species